GCGGAGUUUGUUUAUAUGCUUAAGAGUGUAAUAGAUACAAACAAUAUAAUUUUUUUGCCAACUUGUUUUAAAUUCUUUAGAUUAAGGACUAAGGAAAGACAUUGGUUAGUCUUCUGCUGCUGUUGGGAUGGUUAUCCUUAUGAUUGUGUACCCAAAUUCUGGUGUAUUAAUUGAAUCUAUAAUAUGAGAUCCAUAAUUUCUACUCAUCUCAAGAAGCUAUGGACAAUUUAUUUGCAUCUUGACGUUCAUUGCUUAGGUAGAUAUGACUCUGAGACUGCUCAAGGAAGGCAAGCAUGUGAUCCAAGAUAACCCCCCCCCCCCUCUCUUUUUCUUCAACAAUGGCCAUCAAUGCUUGUAAUCGUGGAAUUGUUGGUGAUGAGAAGGUUUCAGUCCAAUAAGCGCAGAAAUGGACCUUGGUUCAACAAAAAAGCAGCUGCUGGAAGUGAGUGAUAUUCAACAUUUCAAUUCAACCAUUGAGCAAGUAGUAGAUUAUUGAACAGAAAGCUUAAGGAACACUAUUGAUUCUUACGGCUCAUCUUACUCAAUCAGUCCGUAGAUAUUUGCUUCAGAAGCAUGGAAGGUAUCCCCUGAAAUUUCUAGUAAACCAAUCUGGGCUGUUGCAGAAUAUUACAGAUUUGAGCCUGGUUUCAUUGAGGUAUAUGGUAUUCUACUGUGCUUUUGCCUGUAAUCUAUCUGCCUUUUUUGGAGUUUCUCCUCGGUUAAAAUACCUAUUGGAUGAACAGGGCAGGCGGCUAGUCGAAGAAAUAGGAGAUAUGAUUAGUGUCCAAGCUAUUGUGGAAGGAUCAAUGAACAGUUCUUGGAGGAGGAACUUCACUCUAAGUGUUCCAAUAUUCCAUGGCUAGUUGGCUGCUAUAUUUACAUUUCCUUUUGUGAAUCCCUUUCAAAUGAGGCUUUUAGAAAUAAACGUCUAUGCUUUUGGUGGACGCUUUUAGAAAUAAACGUUUAUGCUUUUACUUGUAAGGUCUGUAUUUCUAGACAUAUAUGCUAAUAUGCCUCUUUAGCAAGUUUUAAGUUACCAAAUCAUUCAUGAAUGCCUCCCAGCUUAGAAAGUUGCUUUUUAGAGGUUCGGUUCAAGGGUUCAACUUGUUUAGGUCCAUAAGUACGAAUCUUCCUCUAUGGAUCACUCACGAAUGCCUCCCAGCAUGACUUGAUUUACUAGAUAACUGAAGUGAUGUAUUUGAUCGGGCAACACGAGAUGUGUAAAUGAUUUUACUAGUCAUUCAUAUAUUGGAAU